rnacentral:misc_RNA from 1 species
AAAUGCGAUAAGUAAUGUGAAUUGCAGAAUUCAGUGAAUCAUUGAAUCUUUGAACGCACCUUGCGCUCCUUGGUAUUCCUUGGAGCAUGCCUGUUUGAGUAUCAUGAAAUCUUCAAAGUAAAUCUUUUGUUAACUCAAUUGGUUUCUACUUUGGUAUUGGAGGUCUUUGCAGCUUCACACCUGCUCCUCUUUGUUCAUUAGCUGGAUCUCAGUGUUAUGCUUGGUUCCACUCGGCGUGAUAAGUUAUCUAUCGCUGAGGACACUGUAAAAGGUGGCCAAGGUAAAUGCAGAUGAACCGCUUCUAAUAGUCCAUUGACUUGGACAAUACUUUUAUGAUCUGAUCUCAAAUCAGGUAGGACUACCCGCUGAACUUAAGC